UCUGCCACUGCUUCCAAACUCCUCAGCAGAAAAGGAGCACAAAAAUCAUUUUCCCAGGAGGAUACUGAUAGCAGGAUAGAAAUAACACAGUAAACACAAUUAUCUUGAGCUAUCUGGCUCAAUGUAGAAACCAAAGGGGUCAAUUUGCAAAACAGCUGCACUCAGCUCCAUAGAGGUCUGGGGGAUUAAUUUCUCACACAUGAACGACUGGAUAUUUAUCUGAUUUUUUUUUUCCUGCUCUUCGAGAGACUUUGGACAGCUUUCCCAGUGUCUGUUUAGGAGCUGCUCUCAAGUUGCAGGUGGUCCUUGCUACAGGGAAUGGCACAUCCACGGGACACUGUGAGCUGCCACAGCCAAGAGCACAGAGCACUCUGCUGAGGUCUACACCAGGGCAACACAAACUAUUGCAAUGCCUCGUCUUUGACAGGCUCUCCAGGGACCUUCACAGAUGUUUUGGAAGCUGUUUUGCAGCAACAGCUUCAUUAGAAGGACUCAGCAGGAACUCUUCACUCACUUCUCCUUGCAACCUCUCCCUGCCACAUUAUAACAAUGGAUUCCAUCUACCUCAUGUAAUGGCCCAUUGGUUUGGCUGUCAGCAAGAACUGGACCUGAGGCACAUACCUCUGGAGUAGUUGACUAAUCCAAUUAAGUGGAAGCAACAGAAAGCCCAGUAGCAGAGCCUUGAACAAAACAUGGAUCUCAAGAAAUACCUGAAAGUUUAGAUCCUGCCAGGCUAACCUUCUAAUCCACUUUCAAGUUUGUGUUCAGACAAGCUCUUCAGAAGCUGUGAAAUAAGCCCAAAGAAUUUCUGGAUUACAUCACUUAUCUAUAUUUGUUCUGAUGCAAUUCCUUUUUACAGACCAGUUUGGUAUCCCUUUCCCCCCCAUCUUUCUUCCUGCAAUUAUUGCAAAGCCACCCACAUGGUGCCUAUUUCAUGGUGAACUGGAUUUUCUUAGCUGGUCCCAUUUCUUCCUUAAGUAAGAGCUGCCAAGCUCCAGGUGUGCUCUCGAGC
rnacentral:lncRNA from 1 species